CACGUAGGGCGCAAGCGUUGUCCGGAAUUAUUGGGCGUAAAGAGCUCGUAGGUGGUUUGUUACGUCUGCUGUGAAAACCUAGGGCUUAACCCUGGGCUUGCAGUGGAUACGGGCAGACUAGAGGUAGGUAGGGGAGAAUGGAAUUUCCGGUGGAGCGGUGAAAUGCGUAGAGAUCGGAAAGAACACCAACGGCGAAAGCACUCUGCUGGGCCGACACUGACACUGAGAGACGAAAGCCAGGGGAGCAAACGGG
rnacentral:rRNA from 1 species